CAUUAAAUGAGUUUGAUCCUGGCUCAGGAAAAACGCACAAGACGUGCCUAACACAUGCAAAUUAAAUAGUUUAUUAUUAACUAUAGUGAAUUGGUGAGUAAUAUAUGAAAAUUUAAUUUUAGAUUAGAAGUAUUCUUAGUCACUUAGGAAUAAUCUCUGAUAAGCACAUUUAUUUAAAUUUGGCUUUUAAAAAGUUAAAACUGUCUAAAAAAAAUUCAUAUCUGAUUAGCUAAUUAAUAAGAUAAUAACUUAAUUAAGGCGAAGAUUAGUAGCUGCCCUGAGAGGGGGAUCAGCCACCUUGGGAUUGAAAUACAGCCCAAACUCCUACGGGAGGCUGCAGUGGAGAAUCUUCUGCAAUGAGCGCAAGCUUGACAGAGAAUCGUCGCGUGAAGGAAGACAGCUUAUUAUAGUUGUAAACUUCUUUUGCUUAGAAGUGAAUGUUGACGCUUAAUAAAGUAUUGGCAAACUCCUUGCCAGCAGGCGCUGUAAAACGGGGGAUACAAGCGUUAUCCGGAAUUACUGGGCGUAAAGCGUAUGUAGGUGGUUUUAAUAUAUUUUUAUAUAUAAAAAACUAUAUAUUUGUUUUUAGUAAAAAAAUUAUCAAACUAGAGGUUGUUAGAGGUUAAAGGGAUUUUUUAAGGAGUAGUGAAAUGCAAAGAUACAAAAAAGAAGACCAAAAGCGAAGGCAUUUUACUGGAACAGUACUGACACUGAGAUACGAAAGUUAAGGCCGCGAAUGGGAUUAGAUGCCCCAGUAGUCUUAACUGUAAACUAUGGAUACUCGGAAAAAAAUAUUUAUUAUAUCUUAUUCCUUAGCUAACGCGUUAAGUAACCCGCCUGAGUAGUACGCUCGCAAGAGUGAAACUCAAAGGAAUUGGCGGGGGCUCGCACAAGCAGUGGAGCAUGUGGUUUAAUUCGAUGUAACGCGAAGAACCUUACCAGCGUUUGAAAUAUUUAUUUUCAAAAAAUUAAUAAUUUUUUAUAACUACAAAUACAGGAGGUGCAUGGCUGUCGUCAGCUCGUGUCGUGAGAUGUCGGGUUAAGUCCCGUAACGAGCGUAGCCCUUAUUUAAAGUUAACUAUCUUUAAAAACAGCCAAUAUUUAUUGUAAAAAUAAGGAGAAAGGAAUGAAAAACGUCAAGCCCUCAUGCCCUUUAUACUCUGGGCUAUAUACGUGCUACAAUGGAUGGUACAACAAAAUUUGCGAUUAAAGAAAAAAGUUUUUUCUUUAGUUCUAUUUGGAAAAAUAGAUAUAAAUAUAUUUUAAAAAAAUUCUUAGUUCGGAACAUAAACUGCAAUUUAUUUAUGUGAAGCUGGAAUCGCUAGUAAUCGCCGGGCAGCCUUAAGGCGCCGGAGAAUAAGUCAUCGAGCUUUGUACACACCGCCCGUCACACCAUGGGAAUUAAUUAUUUUUGAAACUUCUUUUUAAGAAAAUAAAUACGAAUUAAUAACUGGGGUGAAGUCGUAACAAGGUAGCAAUACUGGUAGGUGUGGCUGGAUAAUAUACUUA
rnacentral:rRNA from 1 species